AUGACUCUUCCCGGCUGUGCUUCCUCCUUAAGUCGAGCGGAGUUGAUGGAGUGCUUGCACUCCUGAUGCUUAGCGGCGGACGGGUGAGUAAUACGUAGGUAACCUGCCCUUAUGACCGGGAUAACUCACGGAAACGUGGGCUAAUACCGGAUAGGCGAUUUCCUCGGAUGAGGGAAUCGGGAAAGGCGGAGCAGUCUGCCACUUAUGGAUGGACCUGCGGCGCAUUAGCUAGUUGGUGGGGUAACGGCUCACCAGGGCGACGAUGCGUAGCCGACCUGAGAGGGUGAUCGGCCACACUGGGACUGAGACACGGCCCACACUCCUACAGGAGGCAGCAGUAGGGAAUCUUCCGCAAUGGACGCAAGUCUGACGGAGCAACGCCGCGUGAGUGAUGAAUGGUUUUCGGAUCGUAAAGCUCUGUUGCGACGAUACACCGCUGUGGAGAGUAACUGUUCAAUAUUUGACCGUACCUGAAUAAGAAAGGCCCAGCUACUACGUGCCAGCAGUCGCAGUAAUACGUAGAGUGCAGGCUGUACUGAGUAUUGGCCGUUAUGCACGCGCAGGGUGUAAUGUCAGUCUUGAAUUUGAACCCUGGCUCAGCUCGAUGCUUAAGGAACCUGGAUGGCUGAGUGAUACCAGGAGGUGAAUUCCCGUGGAUGGGGAAUGCAACAGAGUGGGAGGAACCCUGGGCAAGCCAUUUCUUGGCUAAUGCCUGGA
rnacentral:rRNA from 1 species